CAGCUCCGGGACUCAACAUGCGCUGCUCGCCGGGAGGCGUCUGGCUGGCGCUGGCCGCGUCGCUCCUGCACGGUCCCUGCAAGGCGAGUUCCAGAGGAAGCUUUACAAGGAGCUGGUCAAGAACUACAAUCCCUUGGAGAGGCCCGUGGCCAAUGACUCGCAACCACUCACCGUCUACUUCUCCCUGAGCCUCCUGCAGAUCAUGGACGUGAUGAGAAGAACCAAGUUUUAACCACCAACAUUUGGCUGCAAAUGCUUGGACAGAUCACUAUUUACAGUGGAAUGUGUCAGAAUAUCCAGGGGUGAAGACUGUUCGUUUCCCAGAUGGCCAGAUUUGGAAACCAGACAUUCUUCUCUAUAACAGAGUUAUGACCAACAGCAGGAAGUG
rnacentral:lncRNA from 1 species